rnacentral:rRNA from 1 species
UACCGAGGUCCCAAGCGUUGUUCGGAUUCACUGGGCGUAAAGGGUGCGUAGGCGGUCGGGUAAGUCUGAUGUGAAAUCUCACAGCUUAACUGUGAAACUGCAUUGGAUACUAUUCGGCUAGAGAGUUGGAGGGGGGACUGGAAUUCUUGGUGUAGCAGUGAAAUGCGUAGAUAUCAAGAGGAACACCAGUGGCGAAGGCGAGUCCCUGGACAACUUCUGACGCUGAGGCACGAAAGCUAGGGGAGCAAACAGG